GAUGAACGCUGGCGGCGUGCCUAAUACAUGCAAGUCGAGCGAACGGACGAGAAGCUUGCUUCUCUGAUGUUAGCGGCGGACGGGUGAGUAACACGUGGAUAACCUACCUAUAAGACUGGGAUAACUUCGGGAAACCGGAGCUAAUACCGGAUAAUAUUUUGAACCGCAUGGUUCAAAAGUGAAAGACGGUCUUGCUGUCACUUAUAGAUGGAUCCGCGCUGCAUUAGCUAGUUGGUAAGGUAACGGGUUACCAAGGCAACGAUGCAUAGCCGACCUGAGAGGGUGAUCGGCCACACUGGAACUGAGACACGGUCCAGACUCCUACGGGAGGCAGCAGUAGGGAAUCUUCCGCAAUGGGCGAAAGCCUGACGGAGCAACGCCGCGUGAGUGAUGAAGGUCUUCGGAUCGUAAAACUCUGUUAUUAGGGAAGAACAUAUGUGUAAGUAACUGUGCACAUCUUGACGGUACCUAAUCAGAAAGCCACGGCUAACUACGUG
rnacentral:rRNA from 1 species